UGGGGAAUUUUGGACAAUGGGGGCAACCCUGAUCCAGCAAUGCCGCGUGAGUGAAGAAGGCCUUCGGGUUGUAAAGCUCUUUUGUCAGGGAAGAAACGGGUCUGGCUAAUAUCCAGACUCAAUGACGGUACCUGAAGAAUAAGCACCGGCUAACUACGUGCCAGCAGCCGCGGUAAUACGUAGGGUGCAAGCGUUAAUCGGAAUUACUGGGCGUAAAGCGUGCGCAGGCGGUUUUGUAAGACUGUCGUGAAAUCCCCGGGCUCAACCUGGGAAUGGCGAUGGUGACUGCAAGGCUAGAGUUUGGCAGAGGGGGGUAGAAUUCCACGUGUAGCAGUGAAAUGCGUAGAUAUGUGGAGGAACACCGAUGGCGAAGGCAGCCCCCUGGGUCAAAACUGACGCUCAUGCACGAAAGCGUGGGGAGCAAACA
rnacentral:rRNA from 1 species